UUUAUUUCGUUGUUUAUAUAAUUUUUUGUGUUUUCUUUUUAUUGUUGCGGAUGCAUAUCGAUUUUUGUCAAUUCCCUUUGCAUGGAAGGGCUGAUAGGCACGACAAUGGAAAGAGGGAGCUUCAGCUAGAAGAUGUAAACUAAUUGGAUCGAAAGUAGGGAGAUACAUGCGAUAUCCAAUACACAAAGGCAAAAAAAAAAAAAAUAUCUCUCCAAUAUCUGAAGUAGAGAGACACCACUGUACGCAGAAAAGAUAGAAGAAGAUCUCAUCACAGCAGAGAGAAGCACCAGCCAUGAGAGGGCGGCAGAUCUAAGGCAUUAACAAAGGCAGAGAUGAGGAUCCUCUUCGGCGAUCCACUCAAGCCUUCCAGAACCUUUAAUUUCCAUGAAUUCUCCAUCGAAGACUACACUCUAUUGUUGAGAUUUGACAACAGAUGAGAAACGCAAUGUGUACCCAACAAACGGGGUGCAAGCAGGAGCAACUAGAGACAGAGAUGAGUUGAUGUAGCGCUGCAAACCUGCAUGCAAAUAUCAAACGAAAAAGUAAAUAAAGCCACAGCAACACACUGAAUAGAUGAAAACCAAAUCCCACUCAUA
rnacentral:lncRNA from 1 species